rnacentral:snRNA from 1 species
GAAUGUGAAGGCUGUGAUAUCAGUCCCCCCAUUGAUCACCAGUGUUGUCAGCUGAUCUGGCUGGUGAUGUGGGUGUUCUGUUCCUCUCUCACUGCUCCAUGUUCAUCUCUCCUAAGCUGAUUGCUGGGUCAAGGAGGUCAUCUCCUAACAGAGAGGAAUUUUGGGGUCAAGGGUAUAAGUAGGCAGGCUACCCCUCCCUUCCAAGGACCUCCAAGCUAGCUCUCAAAUAUUACUGUUGUCCUUUCAUAGGUACAAGGUAAGACACAAAUACAUAUAAAUAGGAAGUAUAAUGUGAAUUUUC